rnacentral:rRNA from 1 species
AUGGCGUCGCCGUCCAAGUCGGCAAGGACAACGACGUUCCCUCUUCCCAGGCUCCGGGAUCUCAUCGAGCACGACGAAGAAGAUGAGUUCCUCGAGGAGGAGGAGGAGGACGACGACGACGACUGGGACAUCAGGAAGCGCAUGUCCCUCCUCACCGUCGAAGGCUCCGACGGCGGUGACGCCGACGAUGAGGAAGACGGGUCGGCAGACGUCGAUGAGGAGGAUGAGGACGAGGUGAGGUCCCAUGGUCUCAACGGCGAGUACGAGAGCCAGCCGUGGCACCCGUACGAUAGCCCAAGAGAUCUGAAGCCUCCCUCCUCGGCUUCGCUACCGGGCACGCCGGAGCGCGGGGCGCCGUCGCAGUCGCCGUGGCGCUACUCCAAGGACUACGCCAGCGAGACAGAGGCGGGGUGGUGGCCGGGCGCCCCCCACGACAGGAGCCGGCAGCACUACCGGCGCCAGCGGAUGAUGCGGGAGGUGUGGCUCGAUCGCGCGUGGCAGAUGAGGAAGCAGCGGCAGCAGCUGGGCGAGCGCGGCGAUGAGGCGACGGUGGUGGUCGGGAAGGGCGGCGAGUCCCCUGCGCGGGGCGGCGUGGCCAUGGACAUGGAGGAGGUGCGCGCUUGCAAGGACCUCGGCUUCGACCUGCCGUGCGACUGGACGGUGGAGAUCCCCUCCUACACGGUCCCCAACGUCGACACCGCCAGCAGCGGCGGCAACUCCCCGGCCUCCGGCAGCAGCUGGCGCAUCUCCAGCCCCGGAGAUGAUCCCAAGGAUGUGAAGGCAAGGCUCAAGGUGUGGGCGCAGGCAGUGGCGCUGUCAUCUGCCUCUCGGCUCGGCUCUUGA